rnacentral:rRNA from 1 species
AUUGAACGCUGGCGGCAUGCCUUACACAUGCAAGUCGAACGGUAACAGGUCUUCGGAUGCUGACGAGUGGCGAACGGGUGAGUAAUACAUCGGAACGUGCCCAGACGUGGGGGAUAACGAGGCGAAAGCUUUGCUAAUACCGCAUACGAUCUAAGGAUGAAAGCAGGGGACCGCAAGGCCUUGCGCGUUUGGAGCGGCCGAUGGCAGAUUAGGUAGUUGGUGGGAUAAAAGCUUACCAAGCCGACGAUCUGUAGCUGGUCUGAGAGGACGACCAGCCACACGGGAACUGGACAACGGCCCGGACUCCUAGGGAAGGCAGAAGUGGGAAAUUUUGAACAAGGGGGGAAGGCCUGAUCCAGCAAUGCCGGGGGCAGAAGAAGGGCUUUCGGUUUGUAACCUGCUUUUGUACGAAACAAAAGGGCUCUGGCAAAAACCUGGGGAACAUGACGGUACCUAAGAAUAAGCACCGGCUAACUACGUG